UNCCUAAAUGCCAACAGUAAUGACGGGGG
rnacentral:piRNA from 1 species